rnacentral:rRNA from 1 species
GCAGAGGCAGAACUCCGGAAAGCAAUUAUAAGGCAAAACCUCGAGCAGGUCUCAGAGGAGGAAUUGGGAGAGGAGUUCAAACUCCUCUUUAAAACAGGCAAGAAAGACAAGGAUGUCACCAACUGGGUGGCAGAAGUGUCCCCUGAAAUUAGGAAAAUCCUGCUGGGAAGGAGCAGGAUCUUCGUAGGUUUCAACGCCUACGGAGUUAAAGAUUUUAUCGCCGCGAGUCGUUGCUACAAAUGCCAAGCAUUUGGGCACGUCUCUAAAUAUUGCAGAUCAAAAACUGACACGUGCGGUCACUGCGGCAAAGACGGGCACAAGUUUAAGGACUGUCCACACAAAAAGGAAAAGCCGACUUGCAUAAAUUGCAAGCGCGCUGGCAAGCCAGCGAAUCAUGGUAUCAGGGAACAAAGCUGUCCGGCAUACAAACAUGCCAUAGAAACAUGCCUCAGUCAAAUAGACUUUGGAAAACCGGUCAGCGACGCUACUGCUUUGGGUACUCUCAGGACCUGUCUUGAAACACGGACCAAGGAGUCUAACAUGUGCGCGAGUCAUUGGGACAUGUAAACCUAAAGGCGCAAUGAAAGUGAAGGUCGUACCUUAGCGUCGACCAAGGGAGGAUGGGCCGCGUCACGAUGCGGCCUCGCACUCCCGGGGCGUCUCGUUCUCAUUGCGAGAAGAGGCGCACCCAGAGCGUACACGUUGGGACCCGAAAGAUGGUGAACUAUGCCUGGUCAGGACGAAGUCAGGGGAAACCCUGAUGGAGGUCCGUAGCGAUUCUGACGUGCAAAUCGAUCGUCGGAACUGGGUAUAGGGGCGAAAGACUAAUCGAACCAUCUAGUAGCUGGUUCCCUCCGAAGUUUCCCUCAGGAUAGCUGGCACUCGCUCGUUUUCUUUUGAUUAACGUGUGCGAGUCUCAUCUGGUAAAGCGAAUGAUUAGAGGCCUUGGGGCCGAAACGACCUCAACCUAUUCUCAAGCUUUAAAUGGGUGAGAUCUCUGGCUUGCUUGGAUCAAUGAAGCCACGAGAUUAUAAUAUUGGAUCAGAGUGCCAAGUGGGCCAAUUUUGGUAAGCAGAACUGGCGCUGUGGGAUGAACCAAACGCAGAGUUAAGGCGCCUAAGUCGACGCUUAUGGGAUACCAUGAAAGGCGUUGGUUGCUUAAGACAGCAGGACGGUGGCCAUGGAAGUCGGAAUCCGCUAAGGAGUGUGUAACAACUCACCUGCCGAAGCAACUAGCCCUGAAAAUGGAUGGCGCUGAAGCGUCGCGCCUAUACUCCGCCGUCAGCGGCAAGUGAGGUUGACGUUAGCUUUUUCCGAAAGGCGCGUCUUCCAUGAAGCUCUGACGAGUAGGAGGGUCGCGGCGGUGUGCGCAGAAGGGUCUGGGCGUGAGCCUGCCUGGAGCCGCCGUCGGUGCAGAUCUUGGUGGUAGUAGCAAAUACUCCAGCGAGGCCCUGGAGGACUGACGUGGAGAAGGGUUUCGUGUGAACAGCCGUUGCACACGAGUCAGUCGAUCCUAAGCCCUAAGAGAAAUCCUAUGUAGAUGAGGUGUCCUAAGAGAGAGAGUGAGCAAAAAUAUCAAAGUAUUGAUAAACAAACAAACACACACACCCAUCGGGCGAAAGGGAAUCCGGUUUCUAUUCCGGAACCCGGGAGCGGAACCGCAUACCAAUCGGGCCCUCGUAAGAGUGUUCGUCGGGGUAACCCAAAAUGACCUGGAGACGCCGUCGGGAGAUCCGGGGAGAGUUUUCUUUUCUGUAUAAGCGUUCGAGUUCCCUGGAAACCUCUAGCAGGGAGAUAGGGUUUGGAACGCGAAGAGCACCGCAGUUGCGGCGGUGUCCGGAUCUUCCCCUCGGACCUUGAAAAUCCAGGAGAGGGCCACGUGGAGGUGUCGCGCCGGUUCGUACCCAUAUCCGCAGCAGGUCUCCAAGGUAAAGAGCCUCUAGUCGAUAGAUUAAUGUAGGUAAGGGAAGUCGGCAAAUUGGAUCCGUAACUUCGGAAUAAGGAUUGGCUCUGAGGAGCGGGGCGUGUCGGGCUUGGUCGGGAAGCGGGUCUGGCUGACGUGCCGGGCCUGGGCGAGGUGAACACAUUAUUGAUGGGAAUCCGAGCUCGGUCCCGUGCCUUGGCCUCCCGCGGAUCUUCCUUGCUGCGAGGCUUUCGUCUAGAACGAUCGUCCUCUUCGGCCGCCAUUCAACGCUCAGCUCAGAACUGGCACGGACUAGGGGAAUCCGACUGUCUAAUUAAAACAAAGCAUUGCGAUGGCCCCCACGGGUGUUGACGCAAUGUGAUUUCUGCCCAGUGCUCUGAAUGUCAACGUGAAGAAAUUCAAAAAAGCGCGGGUAAACGGCGGGAGUAACUAUGACUCUCUUAAGGUAGCCAAAUGCCUCGUCAUCUAAUUAGUGACGCGCAUGAAUGGAUUAACGAGAUUCCCUCUGUCCCUAUCUACUAGUCCUCACAAACGCAAAAGUCAAAGAGAAAAUGAAAGUUGGUUCCCUCCCUAAGAGGAAACCAAAGAUUAUAAUAUUCGGAGUUCCCUCUGACACGGCAGAGGCAGAACUCCGGAAAGCAAUUAUAAGGCAAAACCUCGAGCAGGUCUCAGAGGAGGAAUUGGGAGAGGAGUUCAAACUCCUCUUUAAAACAGGCAAGAAAGACAAGGAUGUCACCAACUGGGUGGCAGAAGUGUCCCCUGAAAUUAGGAAAAUCCUGCUGGGAAGGAGCAGGAUCUUCGUAGGUUUCAACGCCUACGGAGUUAAAGAUUUUAUCGCCGCGAGUCGUUGCUACAAAUGCCAAGCAUUUGGGCACGUCUCUAAAUAUUGCAGAUC